UGAUUUGCUUUAAUGAUCUGAUAUAUUUCUUAUUUUUUACUAUAUUUUACAGGUUCUUACUUUGACGUCCUUUUUUAAAAAAUCAUGGAAAUGUAACUAUAUUUUAAAUUUAAGAGAUGCUUUCUAAAUUGAUCAUGUAAGCUUGGUCUUAUAUGUAGAAAAUAGGUAGCAUUUUCUUUGAGUCAUAUCUGUGCCUUUUCACUUUAAACACUCAGUUACGUAUGUUGUCUAAGUCCCAUGUCUCUGGGAUUAAAAAUUCUUCUGAUGGCAUACAUUUUACUUGUAAUCAGAUAUUCAUUGCAAUUCAUAAUUAUCACUUAUGCUGUUACAGACAUUGCUCAAAAGUUCACAGGCUCUCUGUUCUCUCACAUUAUCCCAAAUAACUUCAUUCUCACAUCUUUUUGUUUUCAUGUAAAGCAGGAAUUUUUAAUCCCACCUGGAAUGUUGCUUUGAAGGCCCAAGUGAA
rnacentral:lncRNA from 1 species